rnacentral:pre_miRNA from 1 species
AGAACGGAAACAAGUCCUGCUCCUCGUGUUCACUGUUGGCCUUCAUGUCUUUGUUCAUAAGGCACGCGGUGAAUGCCAAGAGAGGAUUUGAUAUCGUCGU